AACCUCCCAGAAUCCCGAAUUUUCCCAUUUUCACCCAAUUUUUCCUGUUCUUCCCUUUUCCCGCAGUCUGGGAUUGGCUCUGCAGUGUCCCCAACGUCCCCAAAUCCCGAUUUUCCUUACUUCCCCGAUUUUCCCAGUUUUUCCCAAUUUUUUUCCCAAUUUUUUUCCCAAUUUUUCCGUAUUUUCCCAUUUUUCUCCUCCUUGUAAGAAAGGCCCCAAAAUCGGGGCAUCCUCAAAUCCUCCCCAAAUGCCGUCCCAGGACCCCCCCAGAUGCCCCGGCCUCACUCCGGGGCUCCCCUCCAGGGAAUUUUGAGGCAAAAACCGAAAAAAAUGGGCAAAAACCCCCCUAGAAAGCAAAUCCCGCGAGAUUUGGGUUCCGCGCGAGAUUUCUCGCGGCCGCCAGGGGGCGCCAUCGCCGCUCGCGGUUCCCGCCAAAACGGUCCUGAGGUGAAAGGGGCGGAGCCAGCAAAAAAGGGGCGGAGAACACAGAAGAAAAAAGGCGGGGUCAACAGCAGGGGGCGGGGCGCACAGAGAAAGAGGCGGGGCCACACCGGAGGGGGCGUGGCCAACCGGAGGGCCUGGUUUUACCGGGGGUCGGCCGCCGGAAGUUUAGCGGCCCCUGGUGGAAGUGACGUAGGAGAGCUGAGGGGGUCCGAGCAGAGACGGGAAGGGGCGAAAAGUGACGGAAAGCGGGGUAAAGUGCCGGGAACGGCGGCGGGAAACGGCGAACGGGAGAGAAUCGGAACGGCGGCGGACAGCGACCGGAAAGGGAAAGCGCCGAGCGCGGCCGGAAAGCGCCGAGCGGAGGCGGAAAUUGGCGGAAAUACCCGAGCAGUGCCGGAAAUCAGCGAGCGCCAUCGGAAAAACCCGAGCGGUGACGGAAAGGCCCCGAAGCUGCGACGGAAAGCGCCGAGCGCGGCCCGAGCGGCGCCGGAAGUGGCCGAGCGCGGCCGGAAGUGGCCGAGCGCAGCCGAGCGCGGACGGAGCCGCCGCGGCCUGAGCGCGGCCCGGCAGAGGAGCGGGAGGCGGCACCGGGAGCGGCCCCGAGGCACCGCGAGGGCUCGGCCAGGGCUCGGCCAGCGCCGCCAUGUCCGACUUCGACGAGUUCGAGCGGCAGCUGAACGAGAACAAGCAAGGUACCGGCCCCGCCCCCCCCCCGCGCCUCACGGGGCGACCCCGGCGUGAGGGGAUCGGGGCGGGGGG
rnacentral:lncRNA from 1 species